rnacentral:rRNA from 1 species
UGAGUAACACGUGGGUAACCUGCCUGUAAGACUGGGAUAACUCCGGGAAACCGGGGCUAAUACCGGAUGCUUGUUUGAACCGCAUGGUUCAAACAUAAAAGGUGGCUUCGGCUACCACUUACAGAUGGACCCGCGCCGCAUUAGCUAGUUGAUGAGGUAAUGGCUCACCAAGGCGACGAUGCGUAGCCGACCUGAGAGGGUGAUCGGAGACACUGGGACUGAGACACGGCCCAGACUCAUACGGGAGGCAGCAGUAGGGAAUCUUCCGCAAUGGACGAAAGUCUGACGGAGCAACGCCGCGUGAGUGAUGAAGGUUUUCGGAUCGUAAAGCUCUGUUGUUAGGGAAGAACAAGUACCGUUCGAAUAGGGCGGUACCUUGACGGUACCUAACCAGAAAGCCACGGCUAACUACGUGACAGCAGCCGCGGUAAUACGUAGGUGGCAAGCGUUGUCCGGAAUUAUUGGGCGUAAAGGGCUCGCAGGCGGUUUCUUAAGUCUGAUGUGAAAGCCCCCGGCUCAACCGGGGAGGGUCAUUGGAAACUGGGGAACUUGAGUGCAGAAGAGGAGAGUGGAAUUCCACGUGUAGCGGUGAAAUGCGUAGAGAUGUGGAGGAACACCAGUGGCGAAGGCGACUCUCUGGUCUGUAACUGACGCUGAGGAGCGAAAGCGUGGGGAGCGAACAGGAUUAGAUACCCUGGUAGUCCACGCCGUAAACGAUGAGUGCUAAGUGUUAGGGGGUUUCCGCCCCUUAGUGCUGCAGCUAACGCAUUAAGCACUCCGCCUGGGGAGUACGGUCGCAAGACUGAAACUCAAAGGAAUUGAC